CCUAUUAUACUAAAUGUUAAUUUUGCACCUGGGUAGUAAUAGUUAAGUUCUUGAAACCCAAAGAAUUUGGCGGUAUUUUAGUCUAUUCAGAGGAACCUGUUGUAUAAUCGAUAAUCCACGAUUUUAUUUACUUAUAUUUGUAUUCAGUUUUUAUACCUCCGUCAUAAGAAUGUUUUUUUAGAAUAAAUUUUCUUGAUUGUUCAAUACAUAUAUGUCAGGUCAAGGUGAAGCUUAUGUAUAAGUACUAAUGGGUUACAAUAAAACUAUUUAUACGGAUCUUUUAAUUUACAUUUAAAUUGAAGGUGGAUUUGUAAGUAAAGUUAAUUAAUUAUCUUAUUUGAUUUUAGCUCUAAAAUAUGCACAC
rnacentral:rRNA from 1 species